rnacentral:lncRNA from 1 species
UCCCAGAACACCCCACAGACCCCACUGCCCCCAUGGACCCCAGAACACCCCACAAACCUCAAACCACCCUGAGCCCCUCACUCUCCCCAUUUCUCCCAGUACCCACCACGCCCCCAUGUCCCCUCCAUGCCCCAUAACCCCCAUAACCCCGCAGUCCCCCACCCUCCCCGUGCCCCCCAGAGCCCCCCGACCCCUGUGUCCCCCGUGUGCCCGUACCUUGGUGACAGCGAUGGUGAGGGUGGGCUCCUGCCCUGCCUCGGCCUCGCCAGCGCUGCCGUAGCAGAGCAGCCCAGGGCCCCGCAGGACGCAGAACAGGGGGGCCCCGCUCGGCCCCUCAGCUCCCGGAGCCUGUCCCGAGACCCCCAGAGCCAUCAGUGACACCACAGCACCAGCGUGUCCCCCCCACUUCUGCCCCCACACAGCCAGCUCCACCCCCGCCAGUCCAGACCCGCUGGUGGGUUCGUGCCACCAGCCAUCCUGCCCCCAUCCCCGUCCCCAUUCCCAGCUCUGUCCCCGUUCUCAGCCCAUUCCCAUCCCUUGUCCCCGUAUCCCAUUUCCCUAUAUCCCAUCCCUAUAUCCCAUUACUCUAUCCCAUUUCCCUAUAUCCCAUUUCCCUAUCCCAUUUCCCUAUAUCUCAUCCCUAUAUCCCAUCCCCAUAUCCCAUUUCCCUAUAUCCCAUCCCCAUAUCCCAUUUCUCUGUAUCCCAUUCUCUAUCCCAUUCCCUCACCUGCACCCGCAGCGUCCCCCUUACCAUGGCAGUGUUAACAAACCCCAUUUCCCUAUCCCACCCCGCUCUCCCGUUCCCGGUGCAGCUCCCGGUGCCGCUCCCGGUUCCCGGUGCCACUCCCGGUGUCCCACACCUGCAGCCGCAGCGUCCCCCUUACCAUGGCAGUGUUAACAAACCCCAUUUCCCUAUCCCACCCCGCUCUCCCGUUCCCGGUGCGGCUCCCGGUGCCGCUCCCGGUUCCCGGCGCCGCUCCCGGUGUCCCUCACCUGCAGCUGCAGCGUCCCCCUUACCAUGGCAGUGU